rnacentral:rRNA from 1 species
GACGAACGCUGGCGGCGUGCCUAAUACAUGCAAGUAGAACGCUGAAGGAGGAGCUUGCUUCUCUGGAUGAGUUGCGAACGGGUGAGUAACGCGUAGGUAACCUGCCUGGUAGCGGGGGAUAACUAUUGGAAACGAUAGCUAAUACCGCAUAAGAGUAGAUGUCGCAUGACAUUUGCUUAAAAGGUGCAAUUGCAUCACUACCAGAUGGACCUGCGUUGUAUUAGCUAGUUGGUGAGGUAACGGCUCACCAAGGCAACGAUACAUAGCCGACCUGAGAGGGUGAUCGGCCACACUGGGACUGAGACACGGCCCAGACUCCUACGGGAGGCAGCAGUAGGGAAUCUUCGGCAAUGGACGGAAGUCUGACCGAGCAACGCCGCGUGAGUGAAGAAGGUUUUCGGAUCGUAAAGCUCUGUUGUAAGAGAAGAACGAGUGUGAGAGUGGAAGGUUCACACUGUGACGGUAUCUUACCAGAAAGGGACGGCUAACUACGUG